rnacentral:rRNA from 1 species
AGAGUUUGAUCCUGGCUCAGGAUGAACGCUGGCGGCAUGCCUAAUACAUGCAAGUCGAACGGAAUCUUAUAUGUUCCUCGUUUCGGAUUUAGUUCCGAGUUGGGGAACAAUAAGAUUUAGUGGCGACGGGUGAGUAACACGUUGGUACCUACCCUCUAGUGGGGAAUAACUUCGAGAAAUCGAGGCUAAUACCGCAUAAUAUCUACGGAUUAAAGCAUUUAUGCGCUAGAGGAGGGGCCUGCGUCUGAUUAGCUUGUUGGUGAGGUAAAAGCUCACCAAGGCGACGAUCAGUAGCUGGAUCGAGAGGUUGACCAGCCACACUGGGACUGAGAUACGGCCCAGACUCCUACGGGAGGCAGCAGUAAGGAAUCUUCCACAAUGGGCGAAAGCCUGAUGGAGCAAUGCCGCGUGCAGGAUGACGGCCUUCGGGUUGUAAACUGCUUUUAUAUGGGAAGAUUAUGACGGUACCAUAUGAAUAAGGACCGGCUAACUACGUG